rnacentral:rRNA from 1 species
AACGAACGCUGGCGGCAUGCCUAACACAUGCAAGUCGAACGAGACCUUCGGGUCUAGUGGCGCACGGGUGCGUCACGCGUGGGAACCUGCCCUUAGGCUCGGAAUAACUCCUCGAAAGGGGUGCUAAUACCGGAUAAUGUCUUCGGACCAAAGAUUUAUCGCCUUUGGAUGGGCCCGCGUUGGAUUAGCUAGUUGGUAGGGUAAAAGCCUACCAAGGCGACGCUCCAUAGCUGGUCUGAGAGGAUGAUCAGCCACACUGGGACUGAGACACGGCCCAGACUCCUACGGGAGGCAGGAGUGGGGAAUAUUGCACAAUGGGCGAAGGCCUGAACCAGCAAUGCCGCGUGAGUGAUGAAGGCCUGAGGGUUGUAAAGCUCGUUUACCCGGGAUGAUAAUGACAGUACCGGGAGAAUAAGCUCCGGCUAACUCCGUG